rnacentral:rRNA from 1 species
CGAGAAAGCCCGCAAGGGUGAGUAAAGCGGCGCACGGGUGCGUAACACGUGGGUAAUCUGCCCUAGAGUCCGGAAUAACUCGCCGAAAGGCGCGCUAAUGCCGGAUGAGACCACGGGAGCCUCGGCUCCUGCGGGAAAAGGUGGCCUCUGUAUACAAGCUAUCGCUCUAGGAUGAGCCCGCGGCCCAUCAGCUCGUUGGCGGGGUAAUGGCCCACCAAGGCUACGACGGGUAGCUGGUCUGAGAGGACGAUCAGCCACACUGGAACUGAGACACGGUCCAGACUCCUACGGGAGGCAGCAGUGGGGAAUCUUGCGCAAUGGGCGAAAGCCUGACGCAGCAACGCCGCGUGUGUGAUGAAGGUCUUCGGAUCGUAAAGCACUGUCGCGAGGGACG